GAUGAACGCUGGCGGCGUGCCUAAUACAUGCAAGUCGAGCGAACGGACGAGAAGCUUGCUUCUCUGAUGUUAGCGGCGGACGGGUGAGUAACACGUGGAUAACCUACCUAUAAGACUGGGAUAACUUCGGGAAACCGGAGCUAAUACCGGAUAAUAUUUUGAACCGCAUGGUUCAAAAGUGAAAGACGGUCUUGCUGUCACUUAUAGAUGGAUCCGCGCUGCAUUAGCUAGUUGGUAAGGUAACGGCUUACCAAGGCAACGAUGCAUAGCCGACCUGAGAGGGUGAUCGGCCACACUGGAACUGAGACACGGUCCAGACUCCUACGGGAGGCAGCAGUAGGGAAUCUUCCGCAAUGGGCGAAAGCCUGACGGAGCAACGCCGCGUGAGUGAUGAAGGUCUUCGGAUCGUAAAACUCUGUUAUUAGGGAAGAACAUAUGUGUAAGUAACUGUGCACAUCUUGACGGUACCUAAUCAGAAAGCCACGGCUAACUACGUGCCAGCAGCCGCGGUAAUACGUAGGUGGCAAGCGUUAUCCGGAAUUAUUGGGCGUAAAGCGCGCGUAGGCGGUUUUUUAAGUCUGAUGUGAAAGCCCACGGCUCAACCGUGGAGGGUCAUUGGAAACUGGAAAACUUGAGUGCAGAAGAGGAAAGUGGAAUUCCAUGUGUAGCGGUGAAAUGCGCAGAGAUAUGGAGGAACACCAGUGGCGAAGGCGACUUUCUGGUCUGUAACUGACGCUGAUGUGCGAAAGCGUGGGGAUCAAACAGGAUUAGAUACCCUGGUAGUCCACGCCGUAAACGAUGAGUGCUAAGUGUUAGGGGGUUUCCGCCCCUUAGUGCUGCAGCUAACGCAUUAAGCACUCCGCCUGGGGAGUACGACCGCAAGGUUGAAACUCAAAGGAAUUGACGGGGACCCGCACAAGCGGUGGAGCAUGUGGUUUAAUUCGAAGCAACGCGAAGAACCUUACCAAAUCUUGACAUCCUUUGACAACUCCAGAGAUAGAGCCUUCCCCUUCGGGGGACAAAGUGACAGGUGGUGCAUGGUUGUCGUCAGCUCGUGUCGUGAGAUGUUGGGUUAAGUCCCGCAACGAGCGCAACCCUUAAGCUUAGUUGCCAUCAUUAAGUUGGGCACUCUAAGUUGACUGCCGGUGACAAACCGGAGGAAGGUGGGGAUGACGUCAAAUCAUCAUGCCCCUUAUGGUUUGGGCUACACACGUGCUACAAUGGACAAUACAAAGGGCAGCGAAACCGCGAGGUCAAGCAAAUCCCAUAAAGUUGUUCUCAGUUCGGAUUGUAGUCUGCAACUCGACUACAUGAAGCUGGAAUCGCUAGUAAUCGUAGAUCAGCAUGCUACGGUGAAUACGUUCCCGGGUCU
rnacentral:rRNA from 1 species